rnacentral:lncRNA from 1 species
GGAUAACAGGACUAUGUAUUUUAAUAUUCUCCUUUUACAGAAGUGCAAAUUGUAUUUAAUGUAAAAGUGAAAAUGAUUUUCCUCAGGCUGGAAGUUCAUCUUUCUAUUAUUUAUCUUUUGUGAUAAAAGUGGCAUAUGCUAGAGUCCAUCUGGAUGGGCAACAGACCAAAACAAAUGACAUGAAACAGAAAUAUAUGCUACAUGCAAGGUGUUUUUAUGACCCAAUUUUCUUAAACUUGAUGCUAUGUAGAUUAUUAAUCAAUGAAUUUAUCAUUCAGUAAGUAAAUGUAUAUUCAAGUGUAAAAUGAAGUGGGAGAGG